rnacentral:rRNA from 1 species
GAUUAUUCCGGUUGAUCCUGCCGGAGGCCAUUGCUAUUGGAGUCCGAUUUAGCCAUGCUAGUCGCACGGGUUCAGACCCGUGGCGAAUAGCUCCGUAACACGUGGCCAAACUACCCUAUGGAUCGGAAUAACCUCGGGAAACUGAGGCUAAUACCGAAUACCGCUCUCACGUUGGAAUUACAGAGAGCACGAAACGCUCCGGCGCCGUAGGAUGUGGCUGCGGCCGAUUAGGUAGACGGUGGGGUAACGGCCCACCGUGCCGAUAAUCGGUACGGGUUGUGAGAGCAAGAACCCGGAGACGGUAUCUGAGACAAGAUACCGGGCCCUACGGGGCGCAGCAGGCGCGAAACCUUUACACUGCACGAACGUGCGAUAAGGGGACUCCAAGUGCGAGGGCAUACAGUCCUCGCUUUUCCCUACCGUAAGGUGGUAGGUGAAUAAGAGCUGGGCAAGACCGGUGCCAGCCGCCGCGGUAAUACCGGCAGCUCGAGUGAUGGCCAAUAUUAUUGGGCCUAAAGCGUCCGUAGCUGGCCGAACAGGUCCGUCGGGAAAUCCGCUCGCUCAACGAGCGGACGUCCGGCGGACACCAGUCGGCUUGGGACCGGAAGACCCGAGGGGUACGUCCGGGGUAGGAGUGAAAUCCUGUAAUCCUGGACGGACCACCGGUGGCGAAAGCGCCUCGGGAGGACGGAUCCGACAGUGAGGGACGAAAGCUUGGGUCACGAACCGGAUUAGAUACCCGGGUAGUCCAAGCUGUAAACGAUGCUCGCUAGGUGUGGCACUGGCUACGAGCCAGUGCUGUGCCGUAGGGAAGCCGAGAAGCGAGCCGCCUGGGAAGUACGUCCGCAAGGAUGAAACUUAAAGGAAUUGGCGGGGGAGCACUACAACCGGAGGAGCCUGCGGUUUAAUUGGACUCAACGCCGGACAUCUCACCAGCACCGACAGUGUGCGAUGAAGAUCAGUGUAAUGAGCUUAUUGGAGCCACUGAGAGGAGGUGCAUGGCCGCCGUCAGCUCGU